rnacentral:tRNA from 1 species
GGGGCCGUAGCUCAAUUGGACAGAGCGGGGGUUUCGUAACCCCCAGGUUCCGGGUUCGAAGCCCGGCGGCCCCACCA